AUCAUUUAUUAACACCUGGUAAAGGUCUUCCAGACAUCCUUCCAAUUCUUAAACAUUUUAAGAGUGCCUUUGAUUGGGUAGAAGCCAACAAUUCUGGACGUAAAAUACCUCAUGAAAGUGUCGAUGUGGAGUAUGAUUCUGCUUGUGAAAGAGUUAAAGAGGUUGAAUCUAGUUUGGCUAGACACCUGAAGGAACAACAGAAAUUACUAGGGGACACAUCAAUUACUUAUGUCACAGUUGGAAAAGAGGCAUACCUGUUGGAA